rnacentral:rRNA from 1 species
AGCGAACGCUGGCGGCAGGCCUAACACAUGCAAGUCGAACGGACCCUUCGGGGUUAGUGGCGGACGGGUGAGUAACACGUGGGAACGUGCCUUUAGGUUCGGAAUAGCUCCUGGAAACGGGUGGUAAUGCCGAAUGUGCCCUUCGGGGGAAAGAUUUAUCGCCUUUAGAGCGGCCCGCGUCUGAUUAGCUAGUUGGUGAGGUAACGGCUCACCAAGGCGACGAUCAGUAGCUGGUCUGAGAGGAUGACCAGCCACACUGGGACUGAGACACGGCCCAGACUCCUACGGGAGGCAGCAGUGGGGAAUCUUGCGCAAUGGGCGAAAGCCUGACGCAGCCAUGCCGCGUGAAUGAUGAAGGUCUUAGGAUUGUAAAAUUUUUUCACCGGGGACGAUAAUGACGGUACCCGGAGAAGAAGCCCCGGCUAACUUCGUG